CCCAUGACGACCUCCACACUUUUAGUUCCGGUUUGGAAAAUCGUGUCGCUUCUCUUCACACGCCACAAGAUGGCACCGCCCACAACCCGCAGUGAUGUCUGCAAAGGUCCUGGUCAGUGAAUUGACGACCCCACUCACUGCACACAAGCCUUCUCUGCGUCAGCAUAGAAAAAGGAGUAGUUUAGCGUCCAAAAUAGACUCACAAGAUACAGCCAAAUUAAAUUAAAGACCUAAAUCCGCCAGUCACCUCAUACUCCAAGAGGAUGCACGAAAAUAUGUUGAAGAGCACUCAUGUCGUCCAGAAUCUG